AGUGAACGCUGGCGGUAGGCCUAACACAUGCAAGUCGAACGGCAGCACAGUAAGAGCUUGCUCUUACGGGUGGCGAGUGGCGGACGGGUGAGGAAUACAUCGGAAUCUACUUUUUCGUGGGGGAUAACGUAGGGAAACUUACGCUAAUACCGCAUACGACCUACGGGUGAAAGCAGGGGAUCUUCGGACCUUGCGCGAUUGAAUGAGCCGAUGUCGGAUUAGCUAGUUGGCGGGGUAAAGGCCCACCAAGGCGACGAUCCGUAGCUGGUCUGAGAGGAUGAUCAGCCACACUGGAACUGAGACACGGUCCAGACUCCUACGGGAGGCAGCAGUAGGGAAUAUUGGACAAUGGGCGAAAGCCUGAUCCAGCCAUACCGCGUGGGUGAAGAAGGCCUUCGGGUUGUAAAGCCCUUUUGUUGGGAAAGAAAAGCAGCAGGUUAAUACCCCGCUGUUCUGACGGUACCCAAAGAAUAAGCACCGGCUAACUUCGUG
rnacentral:rRNA from 1 species